GACGAACGCUGGCGGCGUGCUUAACACAUGCAAGUCGAACGGAAAGGCCCUGCUUUUGUGGGGUUCUCGAGUGGCGCACGGGUGAGUAACACGUGUGUAACCUGCCCUUGUCUUUGGGAUAACUUCAGGAAACUGGGGCUAAUACCCGAUAUGAGCUCUUGCUGCAUGUUGUGGGUUGGAAAGUUUCGGCGGUUGGGGCUGGACUCGCGGCUUAUCAGCUUGAUUGUGGGGUAGUGGCUUACCAAGGCUUCGACGGGUAGCCGGCCUGAGAGGGUGACCGGCGACAUUGGGACUGAGAGACGGACCAGACGCCUACGGGAGGCAGCAGUGGGGAAUAUUGCACAAUGGGCGGAAGCCUGAGGCAGCAACGCCGCGUGCGGGAUGACGGCCUUCGGGUUGUAAACCGCUGUCGACUGUGACGAAGCGUGAGUGACGGUAAUGGGUAAAGAAGCAACGGCUAACUACGUG
rnacentral:rRNA from 1 species